ensembl:snRNA U6 U6 spliceosomal RNA
GUGCUCGCUUCAGAAGCACAGAAACUAAACUUGGAAUGAUAGAGAAUAUUAGCAUGGCCUCUGUGCAAGGAUGACACGAAAAGGGGGGGGGGACUACUUGAUCUG